rnacentral:lncRNA from 1 species
AUACGAGUAUGAUACGAGGUAUUAUACGAGUAUGUAUGAAUGAGGGUAUGUCGUAUAUAAUGAAUGAGUAUACGAGUUAGCAUACGAGAAGAAUACAUAGAUUAUACAUUAUAAGGCUUUAAGCCAAUUGUAUUGGAUUUGUAGGAUUUGUGUAGGAGUAGUACAAGCCCAAGUGAAUUAAUGUUAAGGCCCAAUGUUUGUUAAUGCAAGCCCAAAGAUUAAGUUAAAAGUUAU